rnacentral:lncRNA from 1 species
UAUUGAAAUAUCAAAAAUCUUUGUCCAUUAUAUUGAUUGAUUAAUUCCAUGCAGAAAUAAUAAUUGGCCCAAACUACCUUUAAUAGAAAUUAAAGAAAGCUUGAACAUCAGAUACUAUUCAUAAUUAUAGACUUCUUUCUUCUUUUAACCUUUCAAUAAUUUAAUGACUAGACUUUCAUAUCAGGAAAACCUCAACCCUCUACAUC